rfam:Human gut metagenome DNA, contig sequence: In-D_028650.
CUGCAUAAAGCAAUGCUGAACGCACAGAAGUCAGCAGAGGUCAUAGUAGCCGAGAGGUGAAGGAC